rnacentral:rRNA from 1 species
CUCUGUGACUCCUACGGGAGGCAGCAGUGAGGAAUAUUGGUCAAUGGAGGGAACUCUGAACCAGCCAUCCCGCGUGUAGGAAGACGGCCUUAUGGGUUGUAAACUACUUUUAUACAGGAAGAAACGUACCCUCGUGAGGGUGCCUGACGGUACUGUAGGAAUAAGCACCGGCUAACUCCGUGCCAGCAGCCGCGGUAAUACGGAGGGUGCGAGCGUUAUCCGGAUUUAUUGGGUUUAAAGGGUCCGUAGGCGGAUUAAUAAGUCAGUGGUGAAAUCCCAUCGCUUAACGAUGGAACUGCCAUUGAUACUGUUAGUCUUGAAUGAGGGUGCAGUGGUUGGAAUGUGUAGUGUAGCGGUGAAAUGCAUAGAUAUUACACAGAACACCGAUUGCGAAGGCAGAUCACUAACCCUAAAUUGACGCUGAGGGACGAAAGCGUGGGGAGCGAACAGGAUUAGAUACCCUGGUAG